rnacentral:rRNA from 1 species
AGUACAACCUUCAUAAGGUGAAACCGCGAACGGCUCAUUAUAACAGCUAUAAUUUACUAGACCUUGAGCAACUACUUGGAUACCUGUGGUAAUUCUAGAGCUAAUACAUGCACCGAAGUUGUUCCUCACGGAGCAAUGCAUUUAUUUGAGCAAAACCAGGCGGCUUCGGCCGUUUCUGUUGAUUCAGAAUAACUAAGCUGAUCGCAUGGGCUUGUCCCGGCGACGUGUCUUUCAAGUGUCUGCCUUAUCAACUUUCGAUGGUAGUGUACGUGACUACCAUGGUGUUGACGGGUAACGGAGGAUAAGGGUUCGACUCCGGAGAAGGGGCCUGAGAAAUGGCCACUACGUCUAAGGAUGGCAGCAGGCGCGCAAAUUACCCACUCUCAGUUCGAGGAGGUAGUGACGAAAAAUAACAAGGCCGUUCUCUUUGAGGCCGGCCAUUGGAAUGGGUACAACUUAAACCCUUUAACGAGUAUCAAUGAGAGGGCAAGUCUGGUGCCAGCAGCCGCGGUAAUUCCAGCUCUCAAAAUGCAUAGAACCAUUGCUGCGGUUAAAAAGCUCGUAGUUGGAUCUGUGCCGGCGACGUGGUCCGCCCUAACCGGCGGUACUGCGCUCGUCGGCUUUGGGCCGGUCUUCGGUCGGUCGCCUUCACUGGCGGCCGCUCGUGGCUGGCUGGUUUACUUUGAGCAAAUCAGAGUGCUCAGCACAGGCGUCUCGCCGGAAUGUUCGUGCAUGGAAUAAUAGAAAAGGAUUUCGGUUCUUCUUUUAUUGGUUUUGUGAACUGAGAUAAUGGUUAACA